GGAGUCUCCUACUCCAUAAGGUCUCCUCGUUGUCUUCAUUUCUUGCCCACGGCCUCGGAGAGCAGGUCAUUUUGGCCAAUCGCGCGAACCGCAUGUUACGCUUCGACACCAUCGACGGUUGCAGCUACAUUGAUACAAUGCCUAGCCUCCACGGGUACAAGCACUCGCCGCUGGCCAUCUCUGUCCCUCCGACGGACUUGCACCUCCUUGGACGGCGAUGACACCGGCAACCUCUACAGCAUUGACGCCCACCUGCAAGGUCACCCCCCCGGUCCUUCCCCGACAUCAUCAGCGAGUACCUCGGGGCAGAGUCCGCGCUACCGUACCUGAGCCCCUACAUGUGCGGCGAGAACCUGCUCGUCGGCGCCAACUUCGUGUCCGCUGGCAUCGGCAUCCUCAACGACACAGGCGUGCAAUUCGCAAGCUCCACGCGCGCGCACGCACACAUGCUCGAAUCAGGUAUACGUAUCUACAAUAAUGCAACGGAGAUGACAAUAAUGUUGUACGUGUACGUGUGCGUGUGCAGGUGAACACAUCAGGAUCGCGCAGCAGUUGCAAAACUUCCAAGACUACCAGCGGAGGCUGGCGGCGUACAUCGGCGAGGACGCGGCGAGGGAGCGCGUGAGCCAGUCGCUGGUGCUCAUCACGCUCGGCGGCAACGACUUCGUCAACAACUACUUCCUGGUGCCCUUCUCCGCUAGGUCCCAGCAGUUUGAGAUCCACGACUACGUCCCCUUCAUCAUCUCCGAGUACAAGAAAGUCCUCGCGAUGAUGUAAUCAGCUAGAGAAGGACAGGAGCUUGCACAGAGUUUUUAGUAGAAGACGGCGUAAAUUGUGGUAUUCUCCGCAAUCUGGAAGUUCUUCAGAUCCAAAUCCUACUUCAGAAAGUGUAUAUGAAGCAAAGGUCUGCACCUACAUGUUAUCAGAAGUCAGGUCUUAGACAAGGUAAUGUUUUUCUAUCUGAUGAACUAGACAAGGUAAUGUUCGAACUUGGAAGUGAUCAAAUCAUAUGUUUUGGUAUGCAAGAGUGUAAGCUAACUAUUGUAUAUACAUGUUGCCUCUACAUUUUCAGUUUCUGCUUGUCUAAUGUAAAAAUUGUUAGGUGUUUUAUACUGAGCCAUCUGCCAUCUUGGCUUGUCUUAUACUGAGCCAUCUGCCAUCAUGUAUAUUGAUUGCGGUUGGAUUUUGGAGUGCCAUGGCUUCCAAUCUUACUAAUCAGUUGUUAGGUGUUUUCGGCAAGAAUCUUUUUACCGACAAGGAGGAUGAAGACGGGGAUUAACCCAAGGCAGCGGGUAUGGUCUCUAGGUCUUUUGGUUAUGUUUCCAAUUUGAAUUCGUCAAGUUGAGUUGUUUUCUACACGAGAUUGCAAGGUCGGGUAGCAUAUUUAAGUUUCUAGCGCAUAAAUAUUGCCACCAUGAUGGCGUCAUGAACUUAAUUUAGUCAUGUUGCCCAUCAAAUUUGCAUAUUAUAAUCAUAUAUAUCUCUAAUAGAAAGUUGCUUGCUAUAAGAAAUGCUAAUGGUACCUUUUGUUAUUCAUACAUUCUAAAAUCUCGCUGAACAUGGGCUUCCUUUAAUGUUCUAUCACCUCCUUUCUACAGUAUCCUGAUUUUAUGAAACAAACAAAUGAACAUGGAUAUGGCAUCACUAGAAAAUUUGGUCCUUCGGAUUUCAAAUACCCAUAUUUAGUUGGACAACUAUUAACUCAGACUAUACUGCUUAUCUGUAGUAUAACGCCCUGACUCUGAACUCUUUAUUUGCUGAAAAGUAGCACCUUAAUGUCGUGUUUAUAUGUUCCAAAAUUGUACGGAAUACUACUUCAGUGAUGAUGAUCUUUCGAUGGAUGUGUAUUCACUAAUAUUAUGCUAUAGGUUAUCUCUCUUUUGGGUAUCUUCCUUUCUUUAGUAACUCAAAUUUCCAGUUGGCAACUCAAUUUCCCAUGGCUUGGAUGCGGAGGGGUCGUGGCAUGUCACAUAGGUGUGCUCAGGUGAUGCUACGGCAAAGGGCGGCGGCUCGGCUGAAGAGGGUUUGUUCGGCAGUGAUGUGGCAUGCUCGGGCCCAUGUGCGGAUGCGGUGGAGGGUGACACCGUGGCUACGACAGAGGACGGCGCUGGGCACAUGGGUUGGGCCAGGGCGUUGCUGCAGACUCGGUAUCGAGCGUGGCUGGAUGCUCGGCUGGGUUACUGGCCUCCGCAUCGCCAGCGUGCUUGUCCUUCGGUGUGGCUGCAGAGUCAGGCCAGGGCAUGGUUGGGUCCUUGGCCUCGGGUACAUGAGCUUAUCCAGAAGGGCUGAUAUGGAGGACAUGUCGUGUUGCCAUUUCCAUCUGCGAACAGGCUCCCAACUUAAUAAAUUGGAAUGUGAUACCAAUGUUGUUCACUGCAACCUGGAGAUACCAAUGUUGUUCACUAAGUUGGGAUGUUAGCAGCUUAUCUGUUAUUCGCAUAACAGAUCAACCAGAUGACAAACAAACCUUUGUAAUCAGGUACCUGACAAGAAGACAUUUUAUCACAUGAUAAAAGCACUUACAUGAUGCUCUUAAAAUGGGAGUUAGAUUAUGUAUGUUAUGAUACUGGUCAAGUAAUUUUGUCUAAUUAUCAAACUAUAGCAAACCACUUCAUUCAUAUAGUUGUUUGUCUCACCGGUAUUUUUUGUCCGAACACAUCAUCUCAACAUAAGCAGAACAUGAACAAUUGUGACACCGAGUUAAUUGAUACUUCGUUUUAUACGUAGACCUUUAGGAAAUAGAAACCGAGGAUUCUAGGUAGUAAUUAAAUUGAUUAGCAACCCACUUACCAUUAAGUUCUUCAUUUGAAUUAUUUUAAUUGUUAACACUUCAAAAUUGUGACACCAAGUUAGUUGAUACUUCGUUUUAUACAUAGCCCUUCAGCCCAUCUUGAUCAUUGCUAAUAUAAUGAAUAGGUGUGUUCAUGGUUUAAAUAAGCUUUACUGUUUCAGUAUGUAUUAAGUUAUUUGUUAGAGAAAAGACGCGGCUGAGCCUGAGAAGGGAUCUAGCUUGGCUGAUAAAGCUGCAACAUCCAACAUAACACAAGAACAACAUAAAAUGGAAAGAUACAUAGGCGCUCGAAAGUAGCUUACUAUGCCUCGACAUUUCAUGCCAGAGCCAACCAGUGAUUUCUCCCGAUCUGGAUCCCCACCCCAAGCUCCGCCCGCAGUCUGAGGCCUGGCCAGCCAGCUAGCUCGGCCAAAAUCCGGCGGGAGGAAAGCACACCGAGCAGGGAAGAUGAGUAGCUACCAGAAUUGGCACCGUCAGCCACCUGGCCAGCUAUGCCAUGGCCCUAAUCCACCGCUGGUCAGUCGACCAAUCAACAAGACCAUCAAGCAGAGGGGUUGUCACCCUAGAACUAGGGCUCUCCUUCGCCGGGCAGGAGCAGCACGGGCCCCGUCGCCACAAUCCCCAGCUGCAUCAUGAGCUUGCCCGGCGCCACCCUCCUGUGGCGGCUAGGAGGGAGGAAUGGUUACGUCGGCGGGAUGGGCGGCGCAUCCACCUUUGGUAUUAAGUUAUUUGUUGGUUCGGCUGAAACUUAUCUUGUUCCUUAGUUGAAUUAGACAUCAAAUAUACAAGCUUUGUUUUUUGUCAGCAAACAGGUGAACUAAUAAAGGAAGAGUUCUUCCAUGAAUAGUAGUACAUUUACUAUGCAGAUGAUCUGGACAAGUAAUCAAACAAGUCAGCACUAUCUCACUAGGCAGGUUAUUAUUUAAGAUAUUUUCCACUUCUGAAUCUUUGCUCAAAUCGCUCGAUCAUUCGGUCUAUUUGUUGAUACCGUACAAUGAUUUUCAAUUUUCGUUGUAGUCCAAUCUUUGUUGAUUCAGGAAGAUGGCCCUGCUCAACGAGCUCAAGCAGCGUCCACGAGCAAGGCCAUCCACAACGGAAAUGUUGUGACUAAAGAUAAUUAUACGCAUAUUCAGUUAUAUAUAUGUAGAAAGUUUCUGUAUUUUCUUUUAGUCAUUACGCAGAACACUCAAUAUUCAAUAUUAGAUGACACAUUGGUCACAUCAUCCAGUAAAUUUGUUAAUCAUAAUAAAUCAUGGAUGGUUGCUAAUUUUGGACAUAGAAUGCUAAUAAGUUACAACCUCAACCUCAAGUAAUCUGAGAGUAUUUAGAUUUUGAUGCAGCUAAACCUAUCCAGCACGAUGCGCAAACUCUUCUUGAUUGCAGCAUGUUAAAAUGUCGACAUUUCCCAGGUAUGCAUUUAUUUGUAGUGUACCUGUGAAAUAUUGUGAGAACUUGAGUGUUACGAGUAUACUGGUUUUGUAGCUAAUCUUUUUCCAGUUUGUGCAGAGCAUCAGGAACCUUAAUGUCGAGAAUGAAAAUUCUAAUAUCAAUAACUUACCUAUUCUAAUAUUCUUUGAGAAACACCGUUGAAGAAUACAAGUUACAAGAUAUACUUAUUGUUAGUUCUUCGUCGACACCUACUAUUCUUAUUGAACCUUAGUUGUUAACAAUAUGUAGUACUCUAGGAACAAUGGACAGAAGGUUCUGUUUUCCAGGUGAUUCUACUAAUGUUGGCUCUACCAAAGUAUCUCUUCUGCAUGAUAUCUGCUUAAAUAUGGAAAUGAGAAAGUUAGUAUCUCGGCAGCAAGUAGGAACUUAGGCAAUGGACUGCAUUUUUGGAUUGGUAGUGUAUAUUCCGAUAUUUUUUAAACACAUGUGAGGAGUGAAAGUUGUAAAAUUACUUGUGUGGGUGUAGCGACCAGACCUCAAACAGUCUAA